rnacentral:tRNA from 1 species
GCAAGAGUGGCGGAAUUGGCAGACGCGCAAGAUUCAGGUUCUUGUGAUCGAGAGGUUGUGAGGGUUCGAGUCCCUUCUCUUGCACCA